rnacentral:lncRNA from 1 species
GGCUGGCAAAGGUGGAUCACAAGGGCCGGCGGGCGCAAUGCCCACUGCCGCUGGGCGCCAGCGUGUCUUGGCCCACGCGCUGACCCACGCACGGGCCUUGGUCUCACGCAAAGGGGCGUGUUGGUACUUGUGGCGACCGCCGUCGACGUGGUCCAUGCGGUCGGCAGCGGCUUUUUCAUCGGGCGUGUGCUGCUCGGCCCUGUAGGCGCGCCAUUUGUCCCUGUCGCAAGAGUUUUCGGUCAGCGGGUCAUACACGGCCGACGCAGCGGCCGCGACGAGAUCGGCAUGGUUGCACGCCACGGCGCCACCGCCGUCGACGAGCAGUCGCUGGGCCACGGCGACGUCGCACAGGCCGACCGCGAUCAGUGCAGCCUGCGCUGCAAAGGACGGCUCCAUCACACAACGCUGGCAGAACCAGUCGACGAUAUCGGCCGCUCCCUGCAUGAUGGCGGCAUCGAUCAAUGUAUCGAUCAUAUCGUCAACAAACAAGUCGCGGUGCGUCGCAUAGAGUUGCUCUAGCCACGCCGCAUGGACACCCGCAUGGAUCAGCCGUGUGAUCAGGUCAGGUGUCGCCAGACGCGGCCAUCGGCGAAUUACUCGUGCUAUGCGUGUGCAUGUGUCGAGUCCCAUUCUGUAGCCGUCUGCCAUGCGUAUCGUCUUGCCAUCGACGAGGCUGCGCAUCACAGCCGCCUCGUCUGUCGAUAGCGGCGACGCUGUUGCCACGUGAUCGUCUUGUUGGACCAGUCGCGCGCACACCGAGGCCUGUGAGACGACUUGCGGGUCGGGUUGGCGCCCAAAAAUGCGCAUGGCGUCGACCAACUGCACGACAAGGUCUAGGCGUCCGCUCUUGGCAGCGGUUUCCAUGGCCACAUGGUAGGCUGCGUCGUCAAAGAGCGGCCCAAAGGCAGACGCCGUCAAAAUUGCAAUAAUCUCGGCGGAACCCGCCUCGGCCGCCCCGUGCAGUAGCAUAUGAUGGGGCUGAUGGAGCAGACUGUCCCCGUGUGUCGACGACAAGAGGCCGGCGUCGACAGGCAUGUGCGCGAGGAUGGCUUCGACGAUCCGAGCGUGACCUCGUCUCACUGCAUCGGCAAGCGUGUAGACGCUGGGCGUGUCGACGGCGCCAGUGUCUAUGAGAAAGGCGGCCAUGUCUGCGCAAUGCGUGUCGGCCAGCGAGAUGUGCAGACCGUGAGGACCUCCGCAAAGGGCAGCCAAAUGUGUAAACAAUUGUUGAUCGCCCGUCUUGCAUGCCUCAUAAGCCGCGUCACGUGCCGCGCAGGCAUCUGCGUGUGGCAAGAGCGCAUCAACGACGGGUUUGUUGCCGGUGCGCACCGCAAUGGCGAGCCACCCUGCGGCGACGCACAUGUGUGGAUGGGCCUGCGCCAUAACCAGUGCCAUGCGCGCCACGUCGCUAUCGUGACGGGUCAUUGCAGCCAUGGCAUCUCUGUUUUGCGCCGUCGGCGCAUUGGGGUUGUUUGUCUCACAAAAAAGGUCGCCCAACAGACGUCGCCAGUCAAUCUCGGAGCGACAUUGACAUUGGCCUUUUAUGUGGAGGCGUAUCUCUUUUGCGCCCACAUGGCCCAGUGCGUCGGCAUCGUGAUGGUCGAUGGCACAGCGAAUGGCGUCGCACGAGACAGAAAACCCAUAACACAGUCGGCGCCAGCGGUCAAAGUGUGGCGCACGUGGACCGUGGCCACGGCAUGCGCACGCCGAGGCCAUUUCGGCAGUGUCGGGUUGGACGCCCAUUGAAAUGAGCCACUCGAUGACGUCGACGCGGCACGCCUUGGCGGCCGCUGCAACGGCAUCACGGGCAUAUUUGGCGCCGUCGUGCCUUUGCCACAGCAAUACGAGCGCGUCGAUGGCGCCCGUCGACGCUGCCGUCUCGACAUCAAAAGGCCUACAGCGCUCGGGCGUGACAUUGCGUUUGUAGCCGAGACCAAACUCGUCGAGCAACGCAGUGGCCACAGUGAGGUGGCCACCGACGGCGGCGCUCGACCACACGCUAGUCUGGUGACGAGCAUCCUUUACACGACGAGGUGCGUCGAGGAGCAUACGCACCAGAUCGAGAUGGCCCCCCUUUGCAGCGGCCGUCGCGGCGCCCCACGUGUCGCCUAGGAGAUUGGCGUCGAGCAGGCAGCGGACGACGUCGGCGCGCCCUGCAAGGGCCGCUUCAUGGCCAUCAGGUGGUUCCGGGCAUAGACCGACAGACACAAGCGCCUUAUAAGCCCAGCGUAUGGCGUCUACAUUGCCCCGCUUGGUGGCCGUGUCCCACGCGUGCCCAAUCGUAUAGUCGAUGCCGUGCACAUAGGGAAAGACGCGCCUUUGGGCCUGAUCGAGCGGUUGGGGCGCGCACAGGGCCGACAGAUAGCGUCGCCACAACCAGUCGGCCUCGUCGACGAGGCCUCUGGCGAGUGCGUCUGAUAUGGCGCGCGGAUAGCAAUGGAAUCCAUGGCCAGGGUAGGGCGCUUGGUCGUCGUAGCGACUGCGCGGCAUGGGCAUGCGUAGGUGGCGACUGCACGGGCAGGCCGAGUCUGGAUAGCGAUCCUGUGGACGGUUCUGGCGUGUCCAAAAGAGUCGCGACGCCAUGCGACAGCGGGCUACGUCGCACGGAUCGUCCAACUUGGACACGAUGGCAUCGACCAUUUCAACAGGCAAAGAGUCGAGACCGAUACCCGGAGCAACAGGAUCGUCGACACACAUCUUGUGGUCCAAGUCGUCGUGGCCUCUUCGAGUGCUGGCCUUGGGACGACGUCGACGACGCACCGCAUGUUGCCGGCGCCGCAUGUGAAAUCAAAAGAGGUCGUAAAAACACUGCGGGGCGGCUCACGAACUUGCACCAGUGUGUGGCAAGAGACACUAAAAACCGCACGAGACCCGAAGCGCAGGGCGCAACAAUGAACUCCCCACACAACCCAUCCCUUUUUUUCAGUGGAGAACCAAGGCCCAAUGCUUUUUGGCUUGUUUUCGACCAAUCAAAAUUUUUCCAAGG